rnacentral:lncRNA from 1 species
CCAAAAUCGGAACCCCCCCAAAAUAGAGACCCUAAAGGGGGAUCCUAAAUGGAACCCCAUAGCGGGACCCUAACAGGGAAUGUGUGGAAGCAGAGCAGCGGCCAGGAGCUGAGGGUGAAAUUAACGCCUUUAUUAAUUAGUGCUUAAUGAAGGCAGCAGCGGGCGGCGGCGCAACGCAGCGCAGCGGGACGGCGGCUCCUUAAUGGCGUUCAGCCAAAGGAGAGGAUUCACUGCAGUGGGGCACAGCUAUGGGGCAGAGCUAUGGGGCAGAGCUAUGGGGCAGAGCUAUGAGACAACUUAUGGGACAGGCUAUGGGGCAGAGCUAUGGGGAAGAGCUAUAGGGAAGAGCUAUGGGGCAAUCUGUGGGGCACUGCUAUGGGGCAGAGCUAUGGCACAGAGCUAUGGGGCGGAGCUAUGGGGCGGAGCUAUGGGGCAGAGCUAUGGGGCAGAGCUAUGGGGCAAUCUAUGGGGCAGAGCUAUGGGGCAAUCUAUGGGGCAGUCUAUGGGGCAGUCUAUGGGGCAAUCUAUGGGGCAGAGCUAUACGUUAAUCUAUGAGACAACUUAUGGGGCAGAGCUAUGGGGCAGCCUAUGGGGCAGUCUAUGGGGCAAUCUAUGGGUUAGAGCUAUAGGGCAGAGCUAUGGGGCAAUCUAUGGGGCAGAGCUAUGAGAAAACUUAUGGGGCAGAGCUAUGGGGCACUCUAGGGGGCAAUAUCUAGGGCAGAGAUAAGGGGCAGAGCUAUGGGGCAAUCUAUGGGGCAGAGCUAUGAGGCAAUUCAUGGGGCUGUAUCUAUGGGGCAGAGCUAUAGGGCAAUAUAUGGGGUGGAGCUAUAGGGCUGUAUAGUUCCAUUGCACCACCCCAUCCAUGUCUGACCCCAUACGGACCCCACAGCUCCGCCCCAUUCAUGUCUGACCCCAUACAGACCCCACAGCUCCGCCCCAUUCCUGUCUGACCCCAUACGCAGCCCCACAGCUGCAGCGCCGCUCCCCGCGGCAGACUUUUAUAGAGAGGCGGUCGUGACGUCAUCACAGCACAGCCAAUGGGCGCGUUCCAGGAGAGUCUCACUGCUCUGCUAUUGGUGGAUCUUCACAAAGCCCCGCCCCCCCCGUCCGCCCGCAGAGCCAGCGCGCCGCCGUGGGCGGGCGGAGAGUGACGGGCGGACGGGGACAGCGGAGGACUGACGACGGACGACGGCCGGACGACGGCCGGACGCAGG